AUGAAGUCACCUGAAGAGGGUUUCAGAAGCGUUGUUCAGCAAAGAAGCCCAUCCUCACUGCCGACCAGUGCUGGCGGCCAGUCCCAGACGGUGCUGGAGAGGACAGAUGUGCUGGCCCCCAUUGUCCCAUGGGCUGAGCUGUUCCUGCCUCCGCCAAAAGCAGAACCUGGAGAAUUGAAUGUCCCGAGAGAUCAGAUUGCUGUCAGACAUGGCCAUGGGCAUGGACAUGAACAUGGUCAUAGUAAAAUGGAACUUCUAGACUAUAAACAAUGGAAGAUAGAAGGGACACCAUUAGAAACUGCCCAGAAAAAGCUGGCUGCACAGGGACUGAGGGACCCAUGGGGACGCAAUGCAGCUUGGAGAUACAUGGGUGGCUUUGUGAACAAUGUUUCCUUUUUUGGUGCAUUAUUAAAAGGAUUCAAAUGGGGAUUUGCUGCGUUUGUGGUAGCUGUAGGGGCUGAAUAUUACCUGAUGUCCCAGAAUAAAGAUGAGAAGCAUCACUGAAGAUAUUACCUGCAAGGAUCUUAGUGGCUUCUUAACUCUCCGAAAUAAUAUUUCUUCACUGCAACCUACUUGUCUAUGUGUUUGAUCCUUCAAGAAUAUUAGUAAGAGUUAACA